rnacentral:rRNA from 1 species
GACGAACGCUGGCGGCGUGCCUAAUACAUGCAAGUCGAACGCAGUGGGGACGGGUGAGUAACACGUGGGUAACCUCCCAUCAGAGGGGAUAACACUUGGAAACAGGUGCUAAACCGAUACUGAUGGAUGGACCCGCGGUGCAUUAGCUAGUUGGUGAGGUAACGGCUCACCAAGGACACGAUGCAUAGCCGACCUGGGAGGGUGUUCGGCAACACUGGAACAGAAACACGGCCCAGACUCCUACGGGAGGCGGCAGGAGGGAAUCUUCGGCAAUGGACGAAAGUCUGACCGAGCAACGCCGCGUGAGUGAAGAAGGUUUUCGGAUCGUAAAACUCUGUUAUUAGGGAAGCUGUCUCUAACCAGAAAGCCACGGCUAACUACGUGCCAGCCGCCGCGGUAAUUC